rnacentral:rRNA from 1 species
UGCCAGCCGCCGCGGUAAUACGGGGGGCGCAAGCGUUAUUCGGAAUUAUUGGGCGUAAAGCGCGUGUAGGCGGUUCGUUAAGUCUGAUGUGAAAGCCCGGGGCUCAACCCCGGAAGUGCAUUGGAAACUGGCGAACUUGAGUACGGGAGAGGAAAGUGGAAUUCCGAGUGUAGGGGUGAAAUCCGUAGAUAUUCGGAGGAACACCGGUGGCGAAGGCGACUUCCUGGACCAAUACUGACGCUGAGGUGCGAAGGCGUGGGGAGCGAACGGGAUUAGAUA